rnacentral:lncRNA from 1 species
AAAUAUCAAAUUGUUAUAGAAAAAUCUAGAUAUAAAAAUAUAAUAUAACAAGUUAACAUCCCAUGAUGAUGUUAAUUAGUUUCAAUAUUACUCAACACCGUAACAAAAAAACUUAGCUAGCUAACAUCCUGAGCUAGACUAUGAUAUCAAGUUUUGUAUAACAGCCCUAGCAAAAUAAUAAUGAACUUGUGCAUCUUCUAAAUUUGCAUUUUGACUUGUAGCUUUAAUCUUCAAAACCUGUAUGCAUCUUGACUUGUAGCUUCAAUCUUCAAAACUUGUAUGCAUCUUGACUUGUAGCUUCAAUCUUCAAAACCUGUAAGUACAAAAGUUUGAAAAGAUGAUAAAUACUAUUGAUAAAAUUAUAUAAUUAAGGCGUAUCUGCAGCCUUAAUUGCAUCCCCCGCAAGCAUGCUACAGUGCUUAACAGGUGGAAGGGAAAGAUGUUUCGCUAUUUCCCUGUAGUAAAGUCAAAUAUGUUUCAGAAUACAUCUCACAGCCUAGAAAAACGCAGACUACCAAAUAAUCUUCUAGCAGGUUGCACAGACAUCAACAGCAAGAAAGAAUGAAAAAUGCAAACUACCAAUUUGAUCUUCUACCAAAAUACUUUACAUCUCCUUCAACAGCUGCUUGGGAGAUAAUAAUGUUGCGAAACAUGAAGUUGAACUAUGCCAUCCAUCGUUAAUAUAACAUAAUAACAAGCAUAUACGCUUCAAAUGUCAGUGUCUUUAUAACUAUAGAUUAUUUAUUCUCCAUCACUACAAGGUAAGAGAUUUGAAGUUGUUUCAAAAUUUCCUAGGCUGGCACAGAAGUCAGGAGACUGGAUCAGCUAAAAGCAAGCAAGAUGAAAGAGCUUUUCCUCAGAAAACAAAUAGAGCUUGAAGAGAUCUGCAAGCGAUCCCACAUGGAAAUUCCCUCACGGCCAGAGAUGGAAAAUAUAAUUAAACUAAUGAACUCUGGUUGGUCUAAUUUAAGUGUUCCAUUAUUCAAUUAUCAAAGUGAUAUACUGUUUUAAAACUUGAAACUGAUCAAAACCUCCAAAAGGGGAGAUUGACCAUGCUGACCUCCUCACGAGCAUGGAUAAACAGAUAUCACAAGCACAAGAAGAGGCAUCUAGCAGGAAUUUAAGAGCUUUUCUCAUAGAAUUCACAAGAAUAAGCUUUUCUCUAGAGGCUCUAACUUUGAAUUCUCACAUGCUUGGAGGAAAGAAAACAUUAUAGCAAAUACGCUUGCUAAUUGCAGUGAAGUUUCACGAAUAAAAAAUUUGUUUAGUGUUGUCCGUAAUCCGUGAGAUUAUGGUACUACACCAAACUUGGCUACACCAAAUUUGUUUAGUUGUAUUACAACAUUUGACACAUGGACAACUUAUUUCAUAUUCGUCUCUUGUUUUUUGAAAAGCAUAAUCCAAAAACUUUUGCACUUCGAUUAAGUAGGCUUCAUCGAGCCGAUUAUCAACAAGUUGCAUCCAUUGCUUACUAGGUGCCAUAAUCUUGGAGAGUAAAUAAAAAUUAAAUUAAAUAAAGAUAAAAGAUAAGAAAAAUACUACGAUGCACACUACUUGUUACGAUCAGAUGAACACAACUGGUUCAACUCUAAUAUCGCACUUUCUAGUCGACUCGGCUCCUCUGUUUUCAUCUCAAAGAAAUUUUUAUUUGCUAGAUGACAGAAUAACAAACACCCAUAAUUAUUUUUUUCAACAUCUUACAAGCUUCAAUUAUGUAGCUGAAAUCAAUACAUCUAGACUUUGAGACCUAAUUCCCAACAAAUUAAAUUGGACAAUUGAAAAACAAUUUUAGAAUCUGAGUAAUAGCAAUAAAUCUUGAAAACUCAACAUCUAAAAGGCAUAUAGCUCAUGUACACAAGAGAAAAUAAAUCAGCAUGCUCAACGAAACUCAGGAAAACGUGAACUGCACAAAAGUAUUCACAAUGUAAGUAGUAUAAACUUUCAGAAACAGCACCCAAUAAUCAGUUUAUAGAAGAAAUCCCAAACAACAAACUUGAGCAAACAACAGUAAAAAUUAUAGCAGCCCAAAUAUCCUCAAGAUUAAUCCCUCACUGAAUACAUAAAACUAAUAUGCCAUUCAUGGAAUAAUUAGCUUUCAAAACCAGACGAUUCUCAAAGGAGGCAUACCUUGGAAUAAUUAGCUUUCAAAACCUGACUAAUAUGCCAUUCAUGGAAGAAGAAGAAGAAGAAGAAGAAGAAAAAGAGCAACUUGAAAGAGGAGGCAUACCUUGGAUUCUCAAAGGAGAAGAUGGAAACUAUAUUGGCAGAUGAUCAGAUCAGUUGAUCGAUUUCGCUCGCACACGACCAGACAAGUGAGACCGGCUCUAACGCUAGCUUGACGGAGAUUAGGGCAGCGGAUUUUAUGCGGCACUCUGUUUUGAGAAUACAGAGGUUCAAUUUUG